CUUGUCUGUCUUGGCUGCAGCUAGACUGAAGACAAGCUCUCCUCUGGUUUGGCAGGAAGCUUUUGAAGCUACUGCCAAGACAUCUGCUUCAUCUUUCUUGGCAACGACAGGCAUCCUAAGAGACAGACUCGGGGCUUGGAACUGCUAACUCCUGAGAAUUCCAGAUUCUGAGUGGCGGUGACUCCUGUGAUAGGUGAAGAAGAUCUGGAUAUAGAAUUCUCAGCUCCUUCUCCAAUACCGUGCCUACUUGCUGCCAACCUUCCUGACAUGGUGACAACGGUCUAAUCCUCUGAAAUAGUAAUGAAGCCCCAAUUAAAUGCUUUCCUUUGUAAGAGUUGCCAUGAUUGUCCAGUAGCGGUGUCGCACCCCUUUAAUCCCAGCACUCAGGAGACAGAGGCAGGUGGAUCUCCAUGAGUUUGAGGCCAGCCUGAUCUACAGAGGAUCUACAGCCUGUGUCAAAGCUACACAGAGAAACCCUGUCUUGAAAAACCAAAAAAAAAAAAAAAAAGAAAAGAAAGAAAGAAAAAGAAAAGAAAAGAAGAAAAAUAGCAUUUGAAAUGGCUAUGUAAUCCUACAAAUGUAUUAUAAUACAUGUAAUUACAUAUUUUAGAACAUCUGGGUUUCUACCAUUUUGGUAUUCAACAUUGUCUUUAUUGAUCAUAUCUGAACAUAAAUUUUUGUCUGAAAGUCUUAUUUACUCAGAGAAAAUUCCAAGGUAUUUUUUAGUUAUAUUUCCUGGAUGCAUUUGUCAGAUGGUUUCCACAGGGCUGCCCCUGACCUGCAAACCUCCCUUUGAGGGGAUUGUUGUCUAUCCCAGCUUAGGGUAAUACCAGUGGAGGAAAAAAUAUCUUAUUACCUGAAAAGCAAAUAAUGGUAUUUCAGUGCUAUAAUCGUGUGUACUAUAAUUUCAGUACAAGCAACAACAACAAAAUAAAAACGUAAUUAUUAAGUCAGUAUUUUUUUAAAAUAUCCUCUUUCCUCACCAUUUUUCAGGCCUGGGGCUGUGUAGUUCCUGGUAGAGUCCUUCCC
rnacentral:lncRNA from 1 species